UUUUUUUUCUGGUCACAUAUUAGCUCAUAGACUAAAGCUUUAGUUUCCCCAACCGUUUGGGGUAAAGAGCACUGGUAACCUGGCUGGGUCCUAAGACCGUCCUCUUGGGCUUGCAUCCCUCUCUGCCCCAUCACAGCACAGGGAGAACCUAGAGGUGCCGGCCCUCCUCCAGCUCUCGCGCCGCCUGGUGGACACAUUUGGUGCUGCAGCCCUUCGAGCCUGGAUUGGAUUUCGCGGUCUCUGGCGCUCUCCAGUGUUGAAAUGUCGCAACCUCACUCUCGGGAUAGUUGAGCGGUAUUUUCUGUGUGCUGCUGUGUGGCCAGGUGACCAUGAUCAUCCUUCACAAGGAAGCAGAUGAGGAGCUCGUUAGCGGAGGGGCCAGAGCAAUCAGUCUGCAUGCGUGUAAACAGGCAUCCAGUUUCCCCGGGGAUAAUGUGAGGAAGCUGACACCCUGACUUGGAGCUGGGUGGGGAGGUGACCCUACCUGGACUCAGAAAGAGGAAGAAAACAGGUCAUGGUUAAAGUGCUACACACAUUCUCACUGCUCUUGCUAAGAAGUAGAUUUUCUUGAAUAAAUAUUUCAUUUUUGUAAGCCCUUAGGUCAGUUAUCAGGAACUUUAAAUAUUUAUAUAUAAAGAUGUUUGUUAAAAUUUAUACAUAUAUAUUACUAUAAAUACACAUUCAUAAACAUAAAUAAAUGAUAAAUAUGAAUAUAUAACAUUAUUGAGUAUACAAUUUAAACAAAUAUAUUCAUGUAUUUUUAUAAGAACAUGCUUAUCAAAUAUACUAUAUAUAUAAAUACAUGACUAGGUAUAUUUAAAUAUAAAUUAAAAAGUAAUUUCCUCCACUUUUGCUGACAAGUGGGUCUGUGGACGCUUCGUUGCCAAGCCAGAGGUGGAACGCUUCCCCUCCCCAACUGGUUUCUGAAACUCGAAAGUGGACACCCACUGGAAGGUCCUAAAAAUCUUCUUCCUUUUUUUUUUUUUUUGGUCUUUUGUCUUUUUAGGGCCACAUCCGCGCGGCAUGUGGAGAUUCCCAGGCUAGUGGUCUAAUCAGAGCUGUAGCUGCCAGCCUACGCCACAGCCACAGCAAUGCUAGAUCCGAGCCACCUCUGCGACCUACACCACAACUCAUGGCAACGCCAGAUCCUUAACCCACUGAGUGAGUCCAGGGAUCGAACCCGAAACCUCAUGGUUCCUAGUUGGAUUCGUUUCCGCUGCACCAUGACAGGAACUCCUCUUCUACCUUCUCUAAAAUAAUUUUUUUUUCUGCUCAUACGCUAAUUCAUGGACUAAAACACUUGUUGCCCUGAAUUUUAGUUUUCUGAGCCUUUGGGGGUAAAGAGCACUGGUAACUUGGCUGGGUCCUAAGACCGUCCUCUUGGGCUUGCAUCCCUCUCUGCCCCAUCACAGCACAGGGAGAACCUAGAGGUACCGGCCCUCCUCCAGCUCUCGCGCCGCCUGGUGGACACUUUUGGUAUGCAGCCCCUUGAGCCUGGAUUGGAUUUCUGGGUCAAGAGGGCGAAUAUUUGCAGGGAUGUACAGCCAACCAGAGGCAAAGACACGUGCCACUGGGAGUGACCAGAGCUGGGCCACCACUGCUGAAGGCGUGGGGGGCUGGGCAGGUGUUCAGGGGCAGCUCCCCAGUGGGAUGCAGCGGAGGCAGUUCUUGCAGCAAGGAGAGGGUUAUCUGAAGGUAGCAAAGCGAGGGGACAGGAGAACUCUUGAAUAUGCCUCCUGGAAAGCAAGGGGCAGGGAUAUUUUGGAUGAGUAAUAAAGCAACAGGGCGGUCUGGGGCAUGGGGAACACAGGGAAAGGUGACAGGGAAAAGGUGCAGGCCCUGUGGUUCUGUGCUGGUGUAACCAACCUGCCUGCUGGCUUCUGCAGGUCCACAGCACCGACCUGGAGGUGGAGUUUUCACAGGGUAGAUGCCGGCACAUGCCCAGACGGAGAGUCAGUCUUAGGCGCCGCUCAAACCAGACCCAGCUGAUUCCAAGAUUCUGGAAAAUAACCUGGGCAAAUGUUUGUAUUGAUUAGGCUACGUGCAGCUUGAAGGACAGGCAGGUCUUAAAAUGAGCUUGAUUAAUGAAGGCAGGUGGAGUGGGUUUGACUCAGCAUUAUCCACAGUUUCACCAUCACAGGGACUACCCUCCUUCCCCCAAUCCUAGCUUACCAUGGGGGCAGGGGCACAGGGUGCUGAGAUCUGGGGAUGACCCAGAAAAUUAGAGAGGCGUCUUGGGCCAGAUAGAAGCUCUGGGGUCCAGGGCCCCAAGAAAGAGUCCUCAGGAGCAAAUGCUUUGGGAGUGCCAGCCUAGGGACUUGUUCUAGGGAAGCUGUGGGGGCUGCUUGGGGUGGGUGUGCUCCUCUGGUAAUUCUGCAUCAGGGGGUGUGCUGACGGUCUGCAACAGUGACCUGCCCACUGGAUGUGGGAAUUUACUGCCCAUGGGGUCACUUCUUCCCCUUGUCCCCCACCCAGGCUUGAAAGCCAGACACCCCAUUCCAGCCCCAACACAGAGGAAGACUCUCAGGGGUCCCCCUUGCGUACCCCAGGUGUGGAGUCUUUUCUAGAGAUGACAGGCCCUCAGCGCUGAGUAAGAGGAGAGAAACUGCCUGGUGGGUUGGUGGGGAGGGAUUCCUGCUCCUUUUCUUGAGUUCUAGGCCCUUCCGCACCUGGUCUGGGAUUGGCUUGGCUUUGCCACUAGGGGCCACCAUCUACUUGUACAGAAGCCCAGGGCAGGGCUCCUGCCUCUCCAGCCAGCAGGACUAGGAAGAGGGCGGCUGCCAGGCGUGAGCUGGUGCUGGGCGGGUGGCCCCGCUCCCAGGAACUGUGGAUGGAACGCGUCUCCUCCCAGCUCUGUGUUCAGCGAUGUACCUCAUCAGCCUGGAAGCGGCGCGGUGGAGUAGGUCACGGAAACUGGCAAACGCUACGCUACACAUAAGGGUCUCCCCCUGACGCUCCAACUCCGCGUUGGCUGUUCAUCUUUUAGUCACACACCACUGGGCUUGGGGACCAUUCAGGGACACCGACUGGGAAACUGAGGCUCCAGAGUUUAUUGAAAUAGCGGCAGAGCUGGGAAGGAACACUGUGCACGAAGCACUGCGCUAGGUGCCCAGAAAGCCCCUCUCCCCUGCUCAGGACAAAGAAGGAGACUCUACCCUUCCUGGCGCCUGGCAUAGACGUGGAGUUUGUCUGGCAGUACUGACAGCGGUGAGGAAGGACUGUAGUAGGAGCAUCUGGGCGGAAAAGGAAAAGCCCGAGGCUCUCCAGUGUUGAAAAGACUUAGAAAGACAGGACCUGGUGUGAUUUAGCACGGUAGCCACAAGAGGGCGCAGAAAAAAAAGUGCUUUCCUUUAGACCCGACAUCCUCUCUUCUGGGUAUUAUUAAUGGCAUUGUUUGCUAACGGCUGCCUUAGUAGUAGUUGAAAAAAAUUGGGGGAGUUCCCGUCGUGGCUCAGUGGUUAACAAAUCCGAUUAGGAAUCAUGAAGUUGCAGGUUUGAUUCCUUGGCCUCACUCAGUGGGUCAGAGAUCUGGCACUGCUGUGACCUGUGGUGUAGGCUCACGGCUGUAGCUCUGAUUCCACCCCCUGGCCUGGGAACAUCCAUAUGCCACGGGUGAGGCCCUAAAAAGCAAAAAUAAAUAAAUAAAAAUAAAAGCUUAAAAAAAAAAUGAAUGAAUGGUCCAGAAAGUAAAGAUGCAGCCAGUGUAAUCACCUGGACUCAGGCAGCACGAACUGCAAUCUGGCCGGCAGAUCACCUGGCUCCGUGCCGGAUGGCGUGGAGGGUGUGGCCAGUGCUGAUUGUAGAAGUGGCGCCAGUGUAGGGUAGCCUUUUGCACUGGCUGAGGCUGGAGCUACCACAGAAGAGGCUGCCCGGUGGCCAGAUGGGGCCUGAGCGCAUUGCUGAACUAGUCAGUCAGGGCUGCUGAGAAGAGCCUGGGCCAUCCUCAGCGCUAUUACGGACUCCUGGGCCCAAUAAAAAGGAAGAAAAGCUGGAAAACAGGGAGGUGCUUUCUGGCACUCGGGUUUUGCCGCAUUCCUCUGGCACCCUCUGCUGGUAAAAUCUGACAUUGCACCAGCUGGCAAAAUCUUGGUUUCUGGCUCAGAUGCCCUAACAUUUACCCAGAGAUCUAACCAUCUCCCCAAAAUGAGGGGACACAUGUCCCGAAGGGUUAUUGUAGCCACAGCCAACUCUGUUAAUUUCUCCUCAAAUUCAGUCACAGUUCCACUGAAUAUGUUGCUAACCAUCACCACCAACUGCUAUAUAAAGUAAUACUGAGAACAGAGUAAAUAUGAUUGAUAAAUACAAGUAGGUAUAUACACAAUAAUGAGCAAAGUAAAAAUACACUAAGUUACCACAGUUCCUUUUUCGCUAGGGAUGAAUAAAGUUGCCAGAUAAAAUACAGGAUGCUCAAAUAGCGAAAAAAUUUUAGUAUAAGUAUGUCCCAAAUAUUGCCUAGGUCGCACUUAAACUGUUGUUCGUUGUUUACCUGAUGUUCAGAUCUAAUCAUCUGUAUUUUUAUUUGCUAAAUCUGGAGACUCUAGUCACGAGGCCAUAGUUCAUAUCUAUAAUUUCUUUCUUCCUCUAUCCAUUCAAUAUUUCUCUUGUCCUCAGCUGGAUUUACCUGUUCUUUACCUGGUGGUGCUGAGGGGCUAAAUCUUUGUUCUUGGAGGCUCUGAGAACUAAAAAGUACUAAGAUGCUUAGUGCUUUGGGUUCUAGACAAAGUCCCCCCUGCCUUAGUUUUGUUGAAGUUGCCUGAUUUCUCCUUAGUAAUCAGGGCUGACCAGUCCGACCAGUAAGGCAGCCCCUCCUCUGCCCAUUGGCUUCAAAUCAAUGGAACCGUUGUGGAGUCCCCUGGUGGAGACAUUAUAUUCUAGGAAGUUAUUGCCAAAGCAGCAGAGCUGCCAGGACAGAAAGCAAAUAUUCUUUGGGCGAGUUAUUGGGAUUAAUGGUGACAAAAUCUCUUCUUACUUCUAUCCCUUGAUUCCCAGACUCAUGUAUUCUAUCUCUGGGGGGACCACACCAUAUAAUUGUCUUUGAUUCAAAGAAUAAACCUCAGCCAGUGAGACAUAAGCCCAUAUUUUAGGAUGCUAUCUCUCAACUUGGGCACAACUGAGUCUUGGGUAAGCCACUCCACUUUGCAAUAGACCACCUACUUCUGGGCAAUGGGGUAUGUAGUCAGACCAGUUCAUUCCAGGCUGCACGUCCUUUGCUGUGGAAUAAGUUCCUUGCUGAGACACAAGGCUUUGUGGGUGAGGCCAUGACGGUGGCCAAGCCAUUCCAAGAGGCCAGGGACCAUGUUAUGGGAAGAUGCAUUACUGCCAGGGAAGGCAAACCUUUUCCCUGAUGGAUGAGGUGCAAUGGAAUUGUCCUACCACCAGGUGGUUCCCUGGCCGCCCCAGGGAAUGGAGCUGCCCCUGGGGCUCCUGCUCUUGGCCGAUCAGCCACUAGGUGGCAGUGGCAGCUGGGUCAGCCUCUGUGGGGUGGGGACCCUCUUGAUGAGCUCAUAUGCAGCCUCUCAGCCUGCCACUUGCCACCAUCCAGGUGGUUGGGGAUGAGGUGGGCUGACAUUGUGGGGUGUGAUGUUCUGUCCAGCGGAUUUUUGAGCCUGCUUCUCCUGGGAGCAUUCAAGCCCUGUGGGGAUACAGGAUGGGAACAUCACAUGCAAUCCAUUACAAGGACCCUGUCCUUAAGCCUCUUCCCAUGGUCCUUGUCAUUAAUUUCCCGAUAAUGGCCCUUGAUCCUUCUGAGGCACUGUGGACAGGGUGGCUUAAACAACAGACCUUUGUUUCUCACAAUUCUGAAGCUGGGAAGCCUGCGAUCAGGGUGCCGGCAGAC
rnacentral:lncRNA from 1 species